UCUUGCGCUAUUACAACUAUUUUUCUUGGAUGUGCAUCCUGCCAGAUUAUGGCAUGGCACUCAGCCCCUCAAUAAGAAGCCAUUGGGUUCCAAUACAGAAGAAAUCUCAAACCUGGCCCCUGCCUCUAAGGAGCAGACAGUGGGCUAAUUACAAAAGAAGAAAAUGGAACAUGAGCUCCAGCCAGAAAAGAUUCACAGCUGCCACUCUGUAGUUGCUACUUUAAUGGAAAACACAUGUGCAAGAUACCACCCAGGAGACACCAGAAAAAGGAACGUC